GAAAGGACUAUUAAAAAAAAUAUUAAAAUGCGUACAGGAUCGCCAUUCCGCGACAGUAAGGGCCCAGACACACACUUCUGCACAACGCAUAAUGCGUAAGCAUGAGAAAAUUGAUUGGUCCAUACACAUGUGCAUAAGGAAAUAGACCAAUCAAUUUUCUUAUGCUUACGCAUUAUGCGUUGUGCAGAAGUGUGUGCUCCCCGCUUAAAGCCUGCUGGAUUUCCGAUAUCAACAUUACAGCAGAUGGACGCAUUCGAAAACAUUGACCAGAACGGUUAUUCCGAUGCUGUAAAUUAUUUCGAAUAUGUCGGUGGCUUCCAUUUAAAAGAAGCCGUAAAUCUAUGGUUGAAGAAAAACUUACCCGAUUCACUGAUGCGGUAAUUUACCUGAUGAGGCUGAGAAGAAGGACAGCGACCCUUGUAUAAAGCUCGUUUGAUUACGGCAAUAUACGGAACCGGCUCUUUCCAAAACCAACGCGAUCUGAAUUCCAGGCUCAGAUGCGGGAGGCUGUUCGCGUUGCGAAGGAGAAAAAUCGCAGCAAGAUGCGUGGUCCACGCACACGGACAGUCGAGGCGAGAGGGGUCAACCACGACUUUUGGAGAAAGGACAGGAGAGGACAGGAGAGGAAGACAACCCUGAAGAACAAACGUUAAACGAAUAAGAAUUACAUUAUUUGUUUGAGGAGAAUCUGUGAAGAACCAAGGCAAAUGGAUUCUAGGAGCGAGGAGAGGAAGAAAAAGAAGAAAGAGAGAAGGAGGGUAGAAGGAGUAGGAGAGAAUGAUUAUGAUCUGGUGGACUGACAAUACAUAACAGACCCCUGUCCGGAAGAAGUUAGAGAGAGAAACAUACUUUUCACACGACACCGCCGGCAUUUACGUAUAGGGUAACUCCGAUAUAUACAUUGUACCUAAAAAAAAAUUAAUUUAUCGAGUACUAUUUACUAUGUCUAAGGCAAAUAAAUUAUACCAAU